AUUGAACGCUGGCGGCAGGCCUAACACAUGCAAGUCGAGCGGAUGAAGGGAGCUUGCUCCUGGAUUCAGCGGCGGACGGGUGAGUAAUGCCUAGGAAUCUGCCCGGUAGUGGGGGAUAACGUCCGGAAGCGGGCGCUAAUACCGCAUACGUCCUGAGGGAGAAAGUGGGGGAUCUUCGGACCUCACGCUAUCAGAUGAGCCUAGGUCGGAUUAGCUAGUUGGUGGGGUAAAGGCCUACCAAGGCGACGAUCCGUAACUGGUCUGAGAGGAUGAUCAGUCACACUGGAACUGAGACACGGUCCAGACUCCUACGGGAGGCAGCAGUGGGGAAUAUUGGACAAUGGGCGAAAGCCUGAUCCAGCCAUGCCGCGUGUGUGAAGAAGGUCUUCGGAUUGUAAAGCACUUUAAGUUGGGAGGAAGGGCAGUAAGUUAAUACCUUGCUGUUUUGACGUUACCAACAGAAUAAGCACCGGCUAACUUCGUG
rnacentral:rRNA from 1 species